GACGGAGGAUGCAAGCGUUAUCCGGAAUGAUUGGGCGUAAAGCGUCCGCAGGUGGCAGUUCAAGUCUGCUGUCAAAGACCGGGGCUUAACUUCGGAAAGGCAGUGGAAACUGAACAGCUAGAGUAUGGUAGGGGCAGAGGGAAUUCCUGGUGUAGCGGUGAAAUGCGUAGAGAUUGGAAAGAACACCGAUGGCGAAGGCACUUUACUGGGCUAUUACUAACACUCAGAGACGAAAGCUAGGGUAGCAAAUGGG
rnacentral:rRNA from 1 species